UACAGAGGGGGCAAGCGUUGUUCGGAAUUACUGGGCGUAAAGGGCGCGUAGGUGGCCUUCUAAGUUGAACGUGAAAUCCCUGGGCUCAACCCAGGAACUGCGUCCAAGACUGGGAGUCUUGAAUCCGGGAGAGGGAUGCGGAAUUCCAGGUGUAGCGGUGAAAUGCGUAGAUAUCUGGAGGAACACCGGUGGCGAAGGCGGCAUCCUGGACCGGUAUUGACACUGAGGCGCGAAAGCCAGGGGAGCAAACGGG
rnacentral:rRNA from 1 species